GGUGGUGAGGGCUAUCUUCUGUGGCACCUGUCGCCCCACUGAUCGCCAGGGUUGAUUUGGCUGACCUGGCUGGCUUGGCGGCUGUCCCCUCCCUCCACUGUGCCAUGUUCCUCCCUCCGAAAACAGUAUGCAAAGCUUUCUGCUCAGCCGAAGGCAGCCACCUCAGAAAGGGAAGGUCCGUUGGUUUCCUCGGGCGAGGGUAUAGGAGUAACUAUGCUCCCCUGCUACAACCUGCUAAUAACCUCUCAAAAUAAACAAUUAACCUGUAAAAUAUAACUAUAAAAGUGAGGCAAUAAAGGAGACGUAGCACUCCCAGAUUUUAUACCUUAAUAUAAUGUCU
rnacentral:snRNA from 1 species